GUGCUCGCUUUGGCAGCACGUAUACUAAAAUUGGAACAAUACAGAGAAAAUUAGCAUGGUCUCUGUGCAAGGAUGACACACCUAGGUGGGAUAAAAUCGAGAAGCAC
ensembl:snRNA U6 U6 spliceosomal RNA